CGAGGAAUCUUGGGCAAUGGGCGAAAGCCUGACCCAGCGACGCCGCGUGAGGGAUGAAGGCCUUCGGGUCGUAAACCUCUUUUGUGAGGGAAGAAGUUCUGACGGUACCUCACGAAUAAGCCACGGCUAACUACGUGCCAGCAGCCGCGGUAAUACGUAGGUGGCAAGCGUUGUCCGGAUUUACUGGGCGUAAAGGGCUUGUAGGCGGUUCGUUAAGUCCGGUGUGAAAUCUCCCGGCUCAACUAGGAGGGGUCAUCGGAUACUGGCGGACUUGAGGUGGGCAGAGGAAAGCAGAAUUCCCGGUGUAGCGGUGAAAUGCGUAGAUAUCGGGAGGAAUACCAGUGGCGAAGGCGGCUUUCUGGGCCUAUCCUGACGCUGAGGAGCGAAAGCGUGGGGAGCAAACCGGAUUAGAUACCCGGGUAGUCCACGCCCUAAACGGUGGAUGCUAGGUGUAGGGGGUGUCGACCCCCUCUGUGCCGCAGCUAACGCUUUAAGCAUCCCGCCUGGGGAGUACGGCCGCAAGGCUA
rnacentral:rRNA from 1 species